rnacentral:lncRNA from 1 species
GGCCUGUGUUUAGCCCACUGGUAGCUUUAGUUUUGGUUUGUAAAUGGCCUUUUAUAAAGUCCAAGUAUUUGGAAGAGUCCUUGGUGCUCUUUCCAAAUCUUGGCAACUUUAAUUGCUUUACUUUUUAGCAUAGCUAGACAUAGGAGUAAACUUUAAUUUUGAAUUGCUUAUGUGUUUCGCGUUAGGUGUGACCUUUGUCACAUUAGAGUCCGUACGUUUUUAGGGGUCUUAGAGUCCGUUUUCAUUGUUGUUUCUUUUGAGUCUUGCACUUUGAUUUUAAAA